rnacentral:rRNA from 1 species
AUGGCGACCGUCGUCGGCAUCGUCAUCCUGCUUUUCCUACUCGAACCGUUCCUGGCGGCCGUCGAUGUAUUCUGUGACAAUCUUAAGGUCGUGGCCGCGAGCCUCCCCAAGAACAUCUCUUCUUCCCCGGUACACUUCGCUACCGCCACCUUCGGCCAAUCCCCCGACGUGGUCUACGCGCUCGCGCUCUGCCGUGACGACCUCCUCAACGACACCGCCAGCGGCGAGUGCGUCACUAACACGUUCAAACUAACGCCACCGCCGCCGCAGCGGUGUUACCGCACCGCCCUCUACUCCGUGGGCGCCUACUUCACCGUCAACCCCUGUGUCCUUGCCUACUCCGUCGACAACAUCCUCGCGCCCGGCAACGGCGACGACAUGUUCUUGGAGUUUUGGACCACCAAAAACGUCACCGGCGACGUCCGCCUCAUCACCGGCCUUAUCCACGAGCUGCUCGUGGCGACUGUGGAAAAGGCGGCCAGCAUGGAGCUGACGCGGUUCGCCAUGGGAGUCGUGGACAGUCGCACCACCUUCCCGUUGGUGUAUUCCCUGGCACAGUGCACGCCGGACCUGUCCGCCGGCGACUGCUUGGCGUGCCUGCGUCGUCUCCUCAGGAGGAUCAACUCCACCACGUCCCAGUUUAUCGGAGGGCAGAUGUAUGACAUACGGUGUAACUUCAGGUAUGAGUCGUUUUCGUUCUACGGUGGGGAGCCAAUGUUGCAUCUUGGGCCGUCAUUGGCGCCUGCAGGAGCUCCGACUCCGACCAACAAGAGACGUAUCAGCAAGCCGUGGGUAAUUCCCAUAGUUGUGGUGCCUCUAGCAGUAGCAACGUUUCUCCGCUUCAUGUUUUAUUCUCGUUGGGUCAAAGGUAUGAUGGAUGGUGUGAUAGCAUUAUUCUUUCCUUUUCUGGGGGAGUCUGUCGGCCAACGCUACCGAGCACAUAUAAUGAUGGAAAACACACAUGGGUCGCUUGUUGAAUGCACCGGAGUUGCACAAAAACACCCCAAAAGUUGCUAA